AGAGAGAUUCCCUAGGGGAGUUUUUAAGUGUAAAUUUUCCUAAAGUGAUCUUUGUAACCAUCAAAAUAGAGACAUGGUUCCUAUUCAGCUUUUAUGCUUUUCAGUUCUAGUUAAAAAAGUACAGCCAUUUGCAUGCUUGUUUAUGCCUGUGAUCCUGUAGAAAUGAAAAAAGUGUGUUUUGAAAUCCUUCAUUUAUGACUUUUUUUCUUUAUUUUGAUUGGUUCAUUUAUAAUUAUUAUUUUCUUCAUCUGGAUGCAAGUCAAUUAGAACCAUCCUUUUCUUUUUAGUCAAAAUUAUCAAAUCAAUAACAAUUUAUUAUGUCAAUUUUUACAGUUUAAAGUCUCGGUGGGUUGGGUUUGGCAAGGAACUUAUUUCUUGCAGUUUGAUACUAAUCGCUGCUCUGUGUUUUUUUUUUUUUUUUUU
rnacentral:misc_RNA from 1 species